rnacentral:misc_RNA from 1 species
CAUCAAGACACUGAAAAAUUUUGUUUCUCCUUGCAAGAUGGCAGCUACAUCCAGUGAACACUUAUGGCCUCGUAUUAUUGCAAGAAUGGCAUUAGAUGCUUUACAGGGUUCCCCAACAGAAUCCAGAAGAGAUUUUGCCAUUCCAUUUCCUGUACCUGCAGGGACCAUUCCAAGAGGCAUUUUUAUUGCAUCACUCCAGUCCUCUCUUGCUAAAAGUCCAUUUACCACCUCAACAAGGAUGCCAUCUCCGCUAACACAAACAAUACCAUCAUAUUUGGUGAGAUCAAGGGCACUAGCAAACUCCUUGGCAUGGAGCUGAUAUUUUGUUUCUUGCACUGUAAUUUGGACAUCAGCGUCUUCCAGCAACGGUUUUACCACAUCAAGAAAAAUUUUUGAUGCAGAUUUUUUUCCCCCAAAUGGAUUCACAAACACAAACAGUCUCUUUGGCCGACCGAGAGAAUCGAGGUAAUCACGGAGAUGCUGGAACCAAAGUCUCUGUGAGUCCUCAUUUAGAGGCUGGAACACAAAAUCCUUCCUCACCAGAGGUCCCUUACUCCCUGCACAGCAGAUUCCAUCUCCGUUAUCCACAACAGCCUUGAUCCUUAUUUUAGCUCCCUCGAUUACAAACCCAAGCACCUCUUUUUCGAUGGUCAAACAUCGUUGACCUCUUUCCGUCCACCGAAGCUUCCCUUCUGCUGUUAAAGUCAACAGCGUGACGGUUCCAUUGACCGUGACCCGCUCCGAUAUUAUGGACUGUGGCGAGCUCUCGGAUUCAUCCAUUUUGGGUCUCAAAGAGGGUAGUUCAGCUUCUUUGUUAGCUCGAUUCCGUUUAUAUAGAGAACCGGUUGGUGGCGGCUUUUGGUACGGGCUCUGCUUAAA